GCAGACACAUUCCAGCCAAUCAGCAGCAGACCCUCCCUCCCAGACCCUCCCACCUCCUGGACAGCAUCCAUUGUGAAGCUGCAUUCUUAGUGAGCUGUCCAGGAGGUGGGAGGGUCUGGGAGGGAGGGUCUGCUGCUGAUUGGCUGAAAUGUGUCUG